UCCCUGGAGGAAUAGUGGUUAGGCCACAGUGCUCUGACCGCCACGGCCCAGGUUCUAUUCUGGGCCAGGGAG
rnacentral:tRNA from 1 species